AAACAUCGCCUCUUGUAACUUAUAAGAGGUCCAGCCUGCCCAGUGACAAAGUUCAACGGCCGCGGUAUCCUAACCGUGCGAAGGUAGCGUAAUCACUUGUUCUUUAAAUGAGGACUAGUAUGAAUGGCACCACGAGGGUUAUGCUGUCUCCUUUUUCUAAUCAAUGAAACUGAUCCCCCCGUGAAGAAGCGGGGAUAAAACUAUAAGACGAGAAGACCCUAUGGAGCUUUAAACUACUGCGACACUAGCACUUACGCCUGUACACUUGAGAAACAUCAAAAUUAUCAAAAAUAUUUAAGCUAGCAUGAUCGCUAGUUUUAGGUUGGGGUGACCAUGGAGUAAAAAAUAACCUCCAAGCCGAACGGAACCAUUUCCUGAGCCAAAAGCUACAACUUCAAGCACUAAUAAAUUAACACUAAUUGACCCAAUAUAUUGAUCAACGAACCAAGUUACCCUAGGGAUAACAGCGCAAUCCAUUUUAAGAGCCCCUAUCGACAAAUGGGUUUACGACCUCGAUGUUGGAUCAGGGUAUCCCAGUGGUGCAGCCGCUACUAAAGGUUCGUUUGUUCAACGAUUAAAACCCUACGUGAU
rnacentral:rRNA from 1 species